rnacentral:rRNA from 1 species
GCGGAUGGAGCUAUUGAGAGUCGCAGAUACCAGGUGGCUGCAACUGUUUAUUAAAAACACAGCACUGUGCAAAAUCGUAAGAUGACGUAUACGGUGUGACGCCUGCCCGGUGCCGGAAGGUUAAUUGAUGGGGUUAGACUUCGGUCGAAGCUCUUGAUCGAAGCCCCGGUAAACGGCGGCCGUAACUAUAACGGUCCUAAGGUAGCGAAAUUCCUUGUCGGGUAAGUUCCGACCUGCACGAAUGGCGUAAUGAUGGCCACGCUGUCUCCACCCGAGACUCAGUGAAAUUGAAAUCGCUGUGAAGAUGCAGUGUACCCGCGGCUAGACGGAAAGACCCCGUGAACCUUUACUACAGCUUGGCACUGAACAUUGACCCUACAUGUGUAGGAUAGGUGGGAGGCUUUGAAGCACGUACGCCAGUAUGUGUGGAGCCGUCCUUGAAAUACCACCCUUGUAGUGUUGAUGUUCUAACGUCGACCCCUUAUCGGGGUUGCGGACAGUGCCUGGUGGGUAGUUUGACUGGGGCGGUCUCCUCCCAAAGAGUAACGGAGGAGCACGAAGGUGGGCUAAUCACGGUUGGACAUCGUGAGGUUAGUGCAAUGGCAUAAGCCCGCUUGACUGCGAGAAUGACAAUUCGAGCAGGUGCGAAAGCAGGUCAUAGUGAUCCGGUGGUUCUGAAUGGAAGGGCCAUCGCUCAACGGAUAAAAGGUACUCCGGGGAUAACAGGCUGAUACCGCCCAAGAGUUCAUAUCGACGGCGGUGUUUGGCACCUCGAUGUCGGCUCAUCACAUCCUGGGGCUGAAGUCGGUCCCAAGGGUAUGGCUGUUCGCCAUUUAAAGUGGUACGCGAGCUGGGUUUAGAACGUCGUGAGACAGUUCGGUCCCUAUCUGCCGUGGGCGUUGGAAGAUUGAAGGGGGCUGCUCCUAGUACGAGAGGACCGGAGUGGACGAACCUCUGGUGUUCGGGUUGUGUCGCCAGACGCAUUGCCCGGUAGCUAAGUUCGGAAUCGAUAACCGCUGAAAGCAUCUAAGCGGGAAGCGAGCCCUGAGAUGAGUCUUCCCUGAUACUUUAAGUAUCCUAAAGGGUUGUCGGAGACUACGACGUUGAUAGGUCAGGUGUGUAAGUGCUGUGAGGCAUUGAGCUAACUGAUACUAAUUGCCCGU